CUCACUUGGCCCUCAGGAAGAGCUCUCCCACCCCUGUGUGUGCAGACGGCUUCCGGAAGGUGGUCCACAUCGAGCAGGGAGGCCUGGUUAAACCUGAGAGGGAUGACACUGAGUUCCAGCACCCAUGCUUCCUGCGUGGCCAGGAGCAGCUCCUGGAGAACAUCAAGAGGAAAGUGACCAGCGUGAGUGGCUGGCCCUAAACACAACCCUCCUUGUCGUCCCUCCUUGCUUGUCCCUCUCUGACCCACCCUUAACCAUCCCCGUUGGCCCUUCCUACUGUGCCUCAGGCCUCCCCACUCUCCUUGGGGCCCAGCUGCAGCAUGAGAGCCAGCCCCACUCCAGGACCUCCAGAGCCUCUUGUCCACCCCCAGGUAUCCACACUAAAGAGUGAAGACAUAAAGAUCCGCCAGGAUAGCGUCACCAAGCUACUGACAGAUGUGCAGCUGAUGAAGGGGAAGCAAGAGUGCAUGGACUCCAAGCUACUGGCCAUGAAGCAGUAGGUCCUGCGUGUCCAGGGGGUGGCUGUGGAUGUGUGCUGUGGGCUAGGGAAUGGGACAAGGAGGACCUCCUGCAGAGCCACCGUCCAGCUGUGACUUCUGUGGCAGAAGCUCUGGGGCCUUCUGUAUCCAUAUUCUGGGGGAGGCAUCCUGCUGGGCCACUCCCUCCACCCGGAAAGAUAGGCCUCUGCCUGGUUCCUGAAGCCGCAGACUAGAUGAGCUUCCACUGUACAGGAUCUGGGUUCACAGACUCUGCCCUCCAGGUCCCUCGCUGAGGGCCAGGGCAGCAGGAAACUGACCAGGACAGUCCCAAGGCUAGGUCAGCUUCUCUCCCUCCCCUGGUUGCCCACAGUGUCACUCAACGCAAUGUCAACAUCCCCACCACUGCCACCAUCUCAGGCCUGGGGCAGGAAGCAGCGUAGGAUCUUUCUUGAAUUUUUGCCUAUGUAUGUUUGGCACACACCUGACCACCUGGGGCCCCUCCUCAACAAGGACCCAGGGUUCUAGAGGCUUUGCAGGCAGCCUAGCACUUAAGAAACUGAGGCACGGGUCUCUUUUCCACUCUGGGUCCCUGGAGACUCAGGAAUUCUACCCAUAUAGCACAAGAGGCCCUGGGUUCACACUCCCCACAUUAGGCCUAGCAGAAGCCACUGACUUUAUGACCAGUGGAUGUGGCUUUUCUCACAGUAUGGCCAAGGGGCCAUUUCUUUGUCCAGGAGAUAUGGGCUUUGCAGGGCUAGCCCACCAGAGCAUCAGGAAUGCACCAGAUCUUGCUUACCUACCUGGGUGGGGGAACCAUGUUUUGGCAGCUCAUCCCUAUCCCCACCAGGCCACUUCCACACUUGGUGCAGGGCCCUCAGCCCCUACAAGGUGCAGGGCACCCUCCAGGUGUCACUCAGCAAACUGAGGAAUCUGUGUUUCGGAAACCUGAUCCCUUGGUGGGAGCAGAUGACUGGGGUUGGAUUCAAGUUCAAAGAACCUCCCAGUCACCACCCCGACCCCACCGCAUCAUCAGUGGGUGUCCUGCAAACCCCACCUUUGUCCUCUGGGAAGCACACCAGAGGUUGAAGGGGGGCAAUGUUGCCAGCAAGCCCUCGCCUGGCCCCGGCCCUUGUCCCACACCCCCUUGGACCUGCCUAGGGCAGGGGAGGCUACAGAAUACCCCUGCUGAGACUGCUGUGAGGCCUGCCUGACCCAGCCUGUAUUGCAGCGAGAACGAAGCCCUGUGGCGAGAGGUGGCCAGCCUGCGGCAGAAGCAUGCCCAGCAGCAGAAAGUCGUCAACAAGGUGGGGCAGGGCUGGCGGUGGUGGGUCCCUCCACAGCAGGGCUGGAGUGACUAUAUCCUCUCUGCCCUACAGCUCAUUCAGUUCCUGAUCUCGCUGGUGCAGUCCAACCGGAUCCUGGGGGUGAAGAGAAAAAUGUGAGGCACUGGGGGUGCCUGUACCCUCUGCUCAGGCCCUGGGCCCUCCCUGUGCUCCGUCUGCUGCAUCCUAGCGAGCAGCUAACCCCCACCCCUUCCCCACAGCCCGCUGAUGUUGAGCGACAGCAGCUCCGCACACUCGGUGCCCAAGUAUGGCCGGCAGUACUCCCUGGAGCAUGUGCAUGGUCCAGGCCCAUACUCGGUAAGCACUAGGUUGGGCAGGACGGCCCCCACAGGUCGUGCAGGGUGCUUGCUGCGUGCUCCAGGGUGGCCACAGGCAGACCCUACACGUGACCCAGCCCCUACCUCUGUUUGCAGGCUCCAUCCCCAGCCUACAGCAGCUCCAGCCUCUAUACCCCAGACGUUGUUACCAGCUCUGGACCCAUAAUCUCCGACAUCACUGAGCUGGCUCCCGCCAGCCCUCUGGCCUCCCCAGGCAGGAGCAUAGAUGAGAGGUGGGGCUGUGUACCCCCCCCCCAGCCCUCCUGUCACCUCACUGGGCCAGCCCAUAUGAGCCCGGGGUAGAGUUGGGAGGGAGUGGUGCCCGCUGAGGUUCCUGCUAACGUGUCCCCCAACAUGUCCAGGCCCCUGUCCAGCAGUCCCCUGGUGCGUGUCAAGGAGGAGCCCCCCAGUCCACCUCGGACGCCCCGAGUGGAGGAGGCGAGUCCCAGGCACCCGUCCUCUGUGGACACCCCCUUGUCCCCAACUGCCCUCAUCGACUCCAUCCUGCGGGAGAGCGAGCCUGCCCCCACCUCAGCUACAGUCCCCACUGAUGCCGGAGGCCGCGUCCCCUCGUCCCCACCUCGCUCAGCCCCCGAGAAGUGCCUCAGCGUAGCCUGUCUGGACAAGUGAGUGCUGCCCCUGAGCACACAGCCUGAGCCUGUGCUGGGACUGCCCCGAGGGGUGGGGUACUGAACCCCCAGGCCCUGCAGGGGUAUGGGAUUUGCAAAUAGUAAGCAAACAGGAUUAGGGCCAGGGAGGGAGUUGAAUUUGGCCAGAUCACUCUACAAUCUGGGGCCCCUGCCCGCUGGCCACCCUUUUGGCUGCCAUCGCCCUCUCCUGCAAACCACAGGACCCUUGCCUGUCAUGCUGCCCAGACCAGCAGCAAGAGAUGGUGAGCCGGGCCUGGCUUUGACCCCUUUGGCCCUGUCCAGAGGCUGAGUGAGUGAGGAUGGUGGGCUCAGAGCCCACCCUCUGGCCCCCACCUGCAAUGGGGGGGCUCUUGUCUUUGUAUCUUGCAGUUUGGCUCGCGCUCCACAGAUGUCUGGGGUCGCCCGCCUCUUCCCCUGCCCCUCCUCUUCCUUUCUGCAUGGCCGAGUCCAGCCAGGGUUAGCGCGGCCCCCAUUGGGGAGGGAGGAGGGCUCUGUCAGAGCUCGGGCCCCUCCUGCAGCCAUGAAGCAGACCCUGCCCUGUGCACAGCACUCACCCUGUUUGUCAAGGGUGCCGGGGGAGGGCUUCCCAGGCUCUGCAUCCUCACUGACUUCCCAGGCAUGGGCCAAUGGCUGUGACUGGGACAAAACCCUACCUGGCCCAGCCACCAGUGCAGGCAGGAUCCAGGCUGCUGUGCUGCGCUUACUUUCGGGGUGGGGUGGGCCCAUGGCACCUGUAGAGCUGUCCUGGCUGUCCUUCCCAUGGCCCCCAGAUACCCCCAGCAGCACCAGGGGAGGUGCAGACCCAGUCAUGCUGAGGAUAGCCUGUCUGCCUUCUUUACUCUUCCAAGUGCUGUGGCAAGACCUUGUUAAGCCUGAAAAACUGCACUAGAGCUGAACCCCUCGUCCCCUGGUGCUUUCUUGCCCCAGCCUUGAUCACCCCCAAGGCCUUCCAGCCUUGUACCAGUAUCCUGUGGGCCAAGCUGCACCCUACCCUCAGUAGUCAUGGAGGACACAGAGCUCACCACUGCCCUUCCAGCACCUUCCAGUUGUGUGUGUAUAUAUACACAGACACACUGUCCCCCCAGCCCAUGCUGGGGGUGCCGAGGGGCCCCAUCUAGGGAAUGGGUGUAGCCAAGGGAGAGCCCUUCUCUACAGGAGUGUGUCUGGGGCUCUGGUUCACCUGCCCACUCACCCCGGGCCAGGAAUGAGCUCAGUGACCAUUUGGAUGCCAUGGAUUCCAACCUGGACAACCUGCAGACCAUGCUGACCAGCCAUGGCUUCAGUGUGGAUACCAGCGCCCUGCUGGACGUGAGUCUGCCCUAUCUUCUCCCUGCUCCACCCCAUUCUCUGUAAGCCAGCCCUGACUUCCCUCCCUCCCUCCUGCAGCUGUUCAGCCCCUCCGUGACCAUGCCCGACAUGAGCCUGCCUGACCUUGACAGCAGCCUGGCCAGCGUGCGUAGGCGGGCAGGGUGGGGGGCGGGGGCACCAGCAGCAGUCCUCAUCAUGUCCCUUCCACCCCACAGAUACAGGAGCUCCUGUCUCCCCAGGAGCCCCCCAGGCCUCUUGAGGCAGAAAACAAUGGCCCUGACUCAGGUGAGCCAAGCCCUGUGCCUGCCCCCCAUCCUCCCACCACCCAUAUGGCCCUGACCCCCACCCACCCACAGGGAAGCAGCUGGUGCAGUACACAGCACAGCCUCUGUUCCUGCUGGACCCGGACGCCGUGGACACGGGGAGCAGUGAACUACCUGUGCUCUUUGAGCUGGGGGAGGGCUCCUACUUCUCCGAGGGAGACGACUACACAGAUGAUCCCACCAUUUCCCUGCUGACAGGCUCUGAGCCCCCCAAAGCCAAGGACCCUACUGUCUCCUAGAGAUGCCAAGAGGGACUGGGAGGGCCUGUGGCCUGCUUCCACCCUUAGGACAGGUUUGGGGGAGGCAGGACAGGCACACAGCCUCCACAGCCCCAGUGGGGGAAGAGGGGCUCAGGGCUGGACAGUGCCUCCAGUCCAGAGUGAGGGCCCUUGGGCCUGCACACCUGCUGCCUUCGCCCAGCCCCGCAUCCCCAUGGCUUGUUUGGGGCUUCACAGUCACAACUUGGACUGAUUCUGCAGGUUGUUCAUAGAAUUGUAUUUUGGAUUUUUACAUGAGGGUCCCCCUUUCCCCUUCACAGAGAAAUAUAUACACACAGACGGACAGACAAGACGGGCAGAGAUCUAUAAACCGACAAGCUCUAUGCUAUGGCUUUCU
rnacentral:lncRNA from 1 species